CCUGGUGGGGGGCCGAGUCAGUCCUUAUGUUCCAAGAAGGUAGCUAAGAAACUUGCCCCCGGGCUGAACCCUUGGGGGGCCGAGUCAGCCGUUAUGUUUCAGGAAGGUAGCUAGGAAACUUGCCCCCGGGCUAAACCCUUGCCAUAUUAGAAUCCACCAAUUAUAUCCCUGUAACCAUGCAUCUGCUUCUGUAUGCUUGCUUCUGCUCCCCAAAAUCCUAUAAAAGCCCAUCCUUGGUUCUGUGGGGCGCGCCAGUCCCCCGAGUGACUGAAGCGCCCGCAGGUGCCUGUGCCUGUGUAUCCCGACAAUAAACCAAAUCCUCUUGCUGAUUGCAUCCUGUGGUGUCUCAGUCUGGUCUUUGGAGUUGGAGGGUCUCCAUCCCGAGGGAAAGUUCUCCCUGAGAGCUUUUCAUUUGGUGCGUUGGCCGGGAAAGGAGAUCCUCCACCCAGGGACCACCGACCACCCACUGGGAGGUAAGCCGGCCGGCGUCUGUCUGUCUGUCUGAUUUUGUCUCGUUCUGCCUUAUUCUGUCUGUUCUGUGAGCGCUCAGCCAGGUCUGUUCUGUGAGCGCUCAGCCAGGUCUGUUCUGUGAGCGCUCAGCCAGGUUGUUUGGAAUUUGGGCGGGACGAAGAAGGAGCUGACGAGCUCGGACUUCUCGCCCCGCAGCCCUAGAAGACGUUCCAAGGGUGUUAGGGGCCCGACUUUUCAGGGCCCAAUCUGGGAGAGGAGAAAGAUCCGGACUAACGGCACCUCUGUCUGUAUUUUUGGCUUUCAGAGGGCCCCGGACCUUUGCCACCUCCAUCUGACUUUUUGCUUUCAGUUUGGUACCAAAGCCGUGCAGCACGCCUGUCUGUUGUUUGUUUGACUGUUGGUGUUGUUUGUUUUCUCUGUGUUCUAAUCUUCCUUAGAACUAACAUGGGACAGUCCCUAACAAUGCCCCUAAGUCUCACUCUUGAUCAUUGGGAAGACGUCCACGACCGGGCACACAACCAGUCCGUCGAGGUUAAAAAAAAAAAAAAAAAAAAAAAAAAAGGAAAAUGACAGACUCGGAGCGGGAUGGCCAGUGAAUGGCACAUUUAAUAAGAUCAUUAUUUUACAGGUUAAAGAUCGGGUCGUCCACGGACAUCCUGACCAGGUUCCUUAUAUUAUCACUUGAGAGAGUCUCGCCUUAAACCCCCCCUCCUGGGCGGAACCCUUCGUGGACCCGAAUUGGCCUCCCCUCAACCCCCAGCCUGUCCCCUCGGCCCCGCCCGGUCUGCCGGCCACGUCUUCCUCUCUCUACCUUUGUGAAAUCAGAGCCUUCUAAGAAACCUGUCCUCCCGGCAGACCCAAACUCCCCUCUCAUAGAUCUUCUCUCUGACAGGCCCGG
ensembl:lncRNA